ensembl:snoRNA
GCAUAGCUGAAUACUAUGUUCUUUUAUCAGUAGUUUACAUAGCUAGACACCAUGCAAAAACAGUCUUCCCUUUUAAAAUGACUGAUAAUAUGCUAAGUUAUUUCAUGGUAUAUCAUUAUUAAAGGUGAAAAACGUG